GAUCCUGGCUUAGGAUGAACGCUAGCUACAGGCUUAACACAUGCAAGUCGAGGGGCAGCGAGAGGAAAGCUUGCUUCCUUGUCGGCGACCGGCGCACGGGUGAGUAACGCGUAUCCAACCUUCCCCAUAGUAGAGGAUAGCCCGGCGAAAGUCGGAUUAAUACUCUAUGUUGUGUCAUGAGGACAUCUGAAUAACACUAAAGAUUUAUCGCUAUGGGAUGGGGAUGCGUCUGAUUAGCUUGUUGGCGGGUAACGGCCACCAAGGCGACGAUCAGUAGGGGUUCUGAGAGGAAGGUCCCCCACAUUGGUACUGAGACACGGACCAAACUCCUACGGGAGGCAGCAGUGAGGAAUAUUGGUCAAUGGACGAGAGUCUGAACCAGCCAAGUAGCGUGCAAGGAUGACUGCCCUAUGGGUUGUAAACUGCUUUUAUGCGGGAAUAAAGUCAGGUACGUGUACCUGUUUGUAUGUACCGCAUGAAUAAGGACCGGCUAAUUCCGUGCCAGCAGCGGC
rnacentral:rRNA from 1 species